rnacentral:rRNA from 1 species
UCCACGCCGUAAACGAUGGAUACUAGCUGUUGGAGGUAUCGACCCCUUCAGUAGCGAAGCUAACGCGUUAAGUAUCCCGCCUGUGGAGUACGGUCGCAAGACUAAAACAUAAAGGAAUUGACGGGGAGCCGCACAAGCGGUGGAUUAUGUUCUUUAAUUCGAUGAUAACCGAUGAACCUUACCAGGGUUUGACAUCCUUGGAAUUUUGCCGAAAGGCGAGAGUGCUUUAUUGAACCAAGUGACAGAUGAUGCAUGGCCGUCGUCAGCUCGUGUCGUGAGAUGUUUGGUUAAGUCCAU